rnacentral:rRNA from 1 species
UUAUAAGAGACAGCAGUCGCCGCGGGAAUACGGAGGGUGCAAGCGUUAAUCGGAAUUACUGGGCGUAAAGCGCACGCGGGCGGUCUGACAAGUCAGAUGUGAAAUCCCCGGGCUUAACCUGGGAACUGCAUUUGAAACUGUCAGGCUGGAGUCUUGUAGAGGGGGGUGGAAUUCCAGGUGUAGCGGUGAAAUGCGUAGAGAUCUGGAGGAAUACCGGUGGCGAAGGCGGCCCCCUGGACAAAGACUGACGCUCAGGUGCGAAAGCGUGGGGAGCAAACAGGAUUAGAUACCCGAGUAGUCCCUGUCUCUUAUAC